CCUACGGGUGGCAGCAGUGAGGAAUAUUGGUCAAUGGACGAGAGUCUGAACCAGCCAAGUAGCGUGAAGGAUGACUGCCCUAUGGGUUGUAAACUUCUUUUAUAAAAGAAUAAAACGAGGCACGUGUGCCUUUUUGCAUGUACUUUAUGAAUAAGGAUCGGCUAACUCCGUGCCAGCAGCCGCGGUAAUACGGAGGAUCCGAGCGUUAUCCGGAUUUAUUGGGUUUAAAGGGAGCGUAGAUGGGUUGUUAAGUCAGUUGUGAAAGUUUGCGGCUCAACCGUAAAAUUGCAAUUGAUACUGGCAGUCGUGAGUACAGUUGAGGUAGGCGGAAUUCGUGGUGUAGCGGUGAAAUGCUUAGAUAUCACGAAGAACCCCGAUUGCGAAGGCAGCUUACUAAACUGUGACUGACAUUGAUGCUCGAAAGUGUGGGUAUCAAACAGGAUUAGAUACCCGGGUAGUC
rnacentral:rRNA from 1 species